GACGAACGCUGGCGGCGUGCUUAACACAUGCAAGUCGAACGGAAAGGCCCUGCUUUUGUGGGGUUCUCGAGUGGCGAACGGGUGAGUAACACGUGAGUAACCUGCCCUUUACUUUGGGAUAACUUCAGGAAACUGGGGCUAAUACCGGAUAGGAGCUCCUGCUGCAUGGUGGGGGUUGGAAAGUUUCGGCGGUUGGGGAUGGACUCGCGGCUUAUCAGCUUGUUGGUGGGGUAGUGGCUUACCAAGGCUUUGACGGGUAGCCGGCCUGAGAGGGUGACCGGCCCACUGGGGACUGCGAUACGGCCCAGACUCCUACGGGAGGCAGCAGUGGGGAAUAUUGCACAAUGGGCGGAAGCCUGAUGCAGCAACGCCGCGUGCGGGAUGACGGCCUUCGGGUUGUAAACCGCUUUCGCCUGUGACGAAGCGUGAGUGACGGUAAUGUGUAAAGAAGCACCGGCUAACUACGUG
rnacentral:rRNA from 1 species